rnacentral:rRNA from 1 species
GCAUAUCAAUAAGCGGAGGAAAAGAAACCCCAACAGGGAUUACCUCAGUAACGGCGAGUGAAGCGGUAAAAGCUCAAAUUUGAAAUCUGGCUCUUUCAGAGUCCGAGUUGUAAUUUGUAGAAGAUGCUUCGGGUGUGGUUCCGGUCUAAGUUCCUUGGGAACAGGACGUCAUAGAGGGUGAGAAUCCCGUAUGUGACUGGAUACCUAUGCUCAUGUGAAGCUCUUUCGACGAGUCGAGUUGUUUGGGAAUGCAGCUCAAAAUGGGUGGUAUAUUUCAUCUAAAGCUAAAUAUUGGCCAGAGACCGAUAGCGCACAAGUAGAGUGAUCGAAAGAUGAAAAGCACUUUGGAAAGAGAGUUAAACAGUACGUGAAAUUGUUGAAAGGGAAGCGCUUGCAAUCAGACUUGCACUUGGUGUUCAUCAGGGUUUCGUGCCCUGUGUACUUCAUCAAGUUCAGGCCAGCAUCAGUUUGAGUGGUUAGAUAAAGGCUUGGAGAAUGUGGCCCUCUUCGGGGGGUGUUAUAGCUCCAGGUGCAAUGUAGCCUACUUGGACUGAGGACCGCGCUUCGGCUAGGAUGCUGGCGUAAUGGUUGUAAGCGACCCGUCUUGAAACACGGACCAAGGAGUGUACCUAAUAUGCGAGUGUUUGGGUGUUAAACCCAUACGCGUAAUGAAAGUGAACGCUGGUGAGAACCCUUAAGGGUGCAUCAUCGACCGAUCUUGAUGUCUUCGGAUGGAUUUGAGUAAGAGCAUAUUGGGUGCGACCCGAAAGAUGAUGAUCUAUACGUGAAUAGGGUGAAGCCAGAGGAAACUCUGGUGGAGGCUCGCAGCGGUUCUGACGUGCAAAUCGAUCGUCAAAUUUGCGUAUAGGGGCGAAAGACUAAUCGAAUCAUCUAGUAGCUGGUUCCUGCCGAA